AUAAGAUAAAAGGAAAAAUUCUACACAAUGACUUUUCAUAUCUAUCGGUCGCGUUUGUGCUGGAUUUUGUGUUUUGCUUUUGUUUUACUUCUAGGUGAAGGAUUAGCAAUUGGUGAUCCUGGGAAAGUAUUCUGUCUCGGGAGAUGCAGAAAGUCUAGCAUCUGCAGUAAAGAUUGCAUUCUCAAAGGAUUUGAUAAAGGUGGCGCAUGUGUUGGAACCGAAAUACAUUAUUUAUAUUGUUGUUGUAAUUUAUAAUGAGAUAUUGUAGCACUCUUUAAUAAUAAAUAAAAAAGGUAAUCCAACCUUUUCACCAAAAAUAAUAAUUAAAAAAAA